rnacentral:rRNA from 1 species
UACGAAGGGGGCUAGCGUUACUCGGAAUUACUGGGCGUAAAGCGCGUGUAGGCGGUGCGGUAAGUCGGGUGUGAAAGCCCUGGGCUCAACCCAGGAAGUGCAUUCGAUACUACCGUACUAGAGUCCCGGAGAGGUUGGUGGAACUCUCGGUGUAGAGGUGAAAUUCGUAGAUAUCGAGAAGAACACCGGUGGCGAAGGCGGCCAACUGGACGGUGACUGACGCUGAGACGCGAAAGCGUGGGGAGCAAACAGG